GUGCUUGCUUAAGCAGCAUGUAUACUAAAAUUGCAACUACACAGUAGAUCACAGGCCUAGAGCAAGGAUGACAUAGAAAUUUAUGACGCAUUCCAUAUUUUU